rnacentral:rRNA from 1 species
UACGGAGGGUGCAAGCGUUAAUCGGAAUUACUGGGCGUAAAGCGUGCGCAGGCGGUUUUGUAAGACUGUCGUGAAAUCCCCGGGCUUAACCUGGGAAUUGCGAUGGUGACUGCAAGGCUAGAGUUUGGCAGAGGGGGGUAGAAUUCCACGUGUAGCAGUGAAAUGCGUAGAGAUGUGGAGGAACACCGAUGGCGAAGGCAGCCCCCUGGGUCAAAACUGACGCUCAUGCACGAAAGCGUGGGGAGCAAACAGG